AGAGGCUUUACUUUGGAGCACAUACAGAACAGUAGUGGAUCAAAACUUCUUGAUAUGCUGAACACCACAAAAUAUAUAUGGGUAUAUUCAUCCAACUAUAGACAAGUCUACAUGGACAACAGUAUGCAUUGCGCCAAAUAUAAGAAAUAUCAACUAAACCGGACAAAUCUAGCACAGGGUCCCCAUUAUGACUACGACUUCUUUUACGAGCGGGAGUCCGGC
rnacentral:lncRNA from 1 species